rnacentral:rRNA from 1 species
UGAGGAAUAUUGGUCAAUGGGCGAGAGCCUGAACCAGCCAAGUCGCGUGCAGGACGACGGCCCUACGGGUUGUAAACUGCUUUUGUAAGGGAAUAAAAGAGGUCACGUGUGGUCUAUUGUAGGUACCUUACGAAUAAGGAUCGGCUAACUCCGUGCCAGCAGCCGCGGUAAUACGGAGGAUCCGAGCGUUAUCCGGAUUUAUUGGGUUUAAAGGGUGCGUAGGCGGGAGAAUAAGUCAGUGGUGAAAGUUUGCAGCUCAACUGUAAAAUUGCCAUUGAAACUGUUUUUCUUGAGUACAAAUGAGGUAGGCGGAAUGUGUUGUGUAGCGGUGAAAUGCAUAGAUAUAACACAGAACACCAAUUGCGAAGGCAGCUUACUGGGAUGUAACUGACGCUGAGGC